rnacentral:rRNA from 1 species
CAAGUCGAGCGGAGAUGAGGUGCUUGCACCUUAUCUUAGCGGCGGACGGGUGAGUAAUGCUUAGGAAUCUGCCUAUUAGUGGGGGACAACAUUCCGAAAGGAAUGCUAAUACCGCAUACGUCCUACGGGAGAAAGCAGGGGAUCUUCGGACCUUGCGCUAAUAGAUGAGCCUAAGUCGGAUUAGCUAGUUGGUGGGGUAAAGGCCUACCAAGGCGACGAUCUGUAGCGGGUCUGAGAGGAUGAUCCGCCACACUGGGACUGAGACACGGCCCAGACUCCUACGGGAGGCAGCAGUGGGGAAUAUUGGACAAUGGGGGGAACCCUGAUCCAGCCAUGCCGCGUGUGUGAAGAAGGCCUUAUGGUUGUAAAGCACUUUAAGCGAGGAGGAGGCUACUGAGACUAAUACUCUUGGAUAGUGGACGUUACUCGCAGAAUAAGCACCGGCUAACUCUGUGCCAGCAGCCGCGGUAAUACAGAGGGUGCGAGCGUUAAUCGGAUUUACUGGGCGUAAAGCGUGCGUAGGCGGCUUUUUAAGUCGGAUGUGAAAUCCCCGAGCUUAACUUGGGAAUUGCAUUCGAUACUGGGAAGCUAGAGUAUGGGAGAGGAUGGUAGAAUUCCAGGUGUAGCGGUGAAAUGCGUAGAGAUCUGGAGGAAUACCGAUGGCGAAGGCAGCCAUCUGGCCUAAUACUGACGCUGAGGUACGAAAGCAUGGGGAGCAAACAGGAUUAGAUACCCUGGUAGUCCAUGCCGUAAACGAUGUCUACUAGCCGUUGGGGCCUUUGAGGCUUUAGUGGCGCAGCUAACGCGAUAAGUAGACCGCCUGGGGAGUACGGUCGCAAGACUAAAACUCAAAUGAAUUGACGG